CGGUUAAGUCCGCUAACGAGCGCAACCCUCGUCGUAUGUUAUAUGUGUCAUACGAGACUGCCGGUAAAAAGCCGGAGGAAGGUGAGGAUGAUGUCAAGUCAGCAUGACCUUUAUAUCCAGGGCUACACACACGCUACAAUGGUCUGUACAAUGGGUAGCCAAGCCGCGAGGCGGAGCCAAUCCUGAAAGCAGGCCUCAGUUCAGAUUGCAGUCUGCAACUCGACUGCAUGAAGCCGGAGUUGCUAGUAACCGCAGGUCAGCAAUACUGCGGUGAAUACGUUCCCGGGUCCUU
rnacentral:rRNA from 1 species